GUGAUCUCGCUCUGCCUCCAUUUGCCUUGUGAUAUUCUAUUACCUUGUGAAGCACGUGAUCUCUGUGACCCACACCCUAUUCGUACACUCCCUCCCCUUUACAUUUAGUCAUAUACAGCCUUGUAUUUUGCCUGGCAUAUGAUAAGCACUUAAUAAAUGUCUGUUGAGUGAAUAAACAUGUGAGUACAUCAAUUGUCCUCUAACCAUGUCAUGAAAAGUCAGGCAACAUAAAGUAGAUAAUGUUUCUGUUCUAAGGCUCUGUUAGAAAUUGCUGAUGCACACACUAUAUUGUAAAUUCUUAUCUCUGUAUACUGUACUUCUGCAUACUGAUGUUAAAGAAUUACUUCAUCCCCAUGUGACCAUCUCACCUCAUAAUCAAACAACCCUAAAUCCCUCACUAACCUACCCCCAUCCUCACUAAACUUAAUAAUAAAUGCUGGUAUAUCCAGCGCACUGGCGGCAUCGCAGGUCCAGAAGGUCGUGACCCCCCUGGACCCAGCUUUCACUAUCUUGUGUGUAUCUUUUAUUUCUCGACCUGCCGAUCCACCUGGGAACAAAGAAAGAGCCCUGUUGCACUGCAGGCUGCUGGCCAGAUCCCACAAUAGGUAUACAAAUCAAAUAGUCUCGGGCUCAAAUCCUUAUUUGUUAUUAUUUAGCUGAAUAACCCGGGCAGUUCACUGUUC
rnacentral:lncRNA from 10 species